UUUGACACCACUUUGCUGAAAGGGGAAGGUCACGCUUGGGCAGGUGGAGGUCAGUUUAGCAAAAGAGCGUCUGCAUUCUGUAUGUGUUAGUGCAGGACAGGAAACAGAAGUGUUACGCUAGUAACUAGCAGUACAGGCCUCUAGCGAUGGGAAGCUGGAAAGUGAGAGACAUGGGAUGGGGGUGCUUUGGUUGAAACAGAAAUACGACUGCUAGCAUCAGUGUUUUGGCAUGUGGAGGGGAGGAGGAUUGAGCAGUGUUGGGUUUCACAAUGGCUGGCGUCCUGAAAUGAGAAAAAAAAAAAGUGGUGGUUGUCCUCAGCACAAGCUAGCUUCCUCUUGCGGCUCUGGGUUUCUGUAUGUGUUUGUUUGAGCUUGUUUAUGAGGAUGUUUCUAUGACACUAGGAUUUUGCUUAGCAACCGUGCCGCAAAGUGAAGCACUGCAGCGGUGAGUCAACCUGACGAGAGACGGAAGGACAGAUGAUGCUGUCAGUCUGAACAAGCCGCGUGGGCUCACACAGAGACAGCGGCGGAUGAUUCAUAUCGGCUGGAGUGCUCCUUUUGUGAACUGCUGCCGCCACAUCUCUGCUGUAACAUGGCCUUCAUAGAAAUGAAGCCACGAAGGGCCUUGAAAUGGAUGGAAGCAACACAAACCGGGAGCUGUGAGCUCUGGGCUGACAUUCACGCAGUGAAUCUAUUCAUAGCCGAUGGAGAAACUCAAGGAACGGAAGGAAUCUCGUGGAGUUUUAUCACGGAGAGACACGCGUGGGCUGAGCGACAGAAGUCCAGAAGCGAGUGAAAACACAAAAAGCUAAAGCUUUAUUUCCAAACAAAGCACUUCUAUGUGGCGCUUCUUGGAAGACAUUCCUCUCCAGCAUUCCAGAGCGUGUGGAGGUGGAGGUCUCGACCGCUGGCUCUGAGGAUAAUUAAGUUUGUAAUUUUUAAUGAAAUGUCCUACACCUACACACACUGGACGUCCUAAAACCUCUCUGUCUCGGUCUGCCUGACUACCUUUCUCUUCACACACAUAUAUAAAUUAUAUACAAUAUACAAAAAAUAAUUACAAUUGUCAUUAAUAUUAAUUAUUAUAAUGUAUAAUAUAUUUAAAAUAUACUUAACAGUUAUUAUUUAUUAUAUUACAUCAUAAUACAAUAGUAAUAAUACAUGUAAAACUAGUAAUAUAAUUCAUAUGAAUUACUAUUAAGGUAAUAUGUUUUCUCUACAUAUGAACCCCAUUAAUUUAUACAUAUAUCUAUAAAAG
ensembl:lncRNA